rnacentral:rRNA from 1 species
AUUGAACGCUGGCGGCAUGCUUAAUACAUGCAAGUCGAACGAGUGGCGGACGGGUGUGUAAUGUCUGGGAAACUGCCUGAUGGAGGGGGUUAACUACUGGAAACGGUAGCUAAUACCGCAUACCCUCGGAUGUGCCCAUAUGGGAUUAGCUAGUAGGUGGUGUAAAGGCUCACCUAGGCGACGAUCCCUAGCUGGUCUGAGAGGAUGACCAGCCACACUGGAACUGAGACACGUUCCAGUCUCCUAGUGGAGGCAGCAGGGGGGAAUAGUGCACAACGGGCGCAAGCCGGCGUCAGCCGUGCCGCGUGUAUGAAGAAGGCCUUCGGGUUGUAGAGUACUUUCAGCGGGGAUGCGGUACGCGCAGAAGAAGCACGGGCUAACUCCGUGCCAGCCACCGCCGUAAUAC